rnacentral:miRNA from 1 species
GGACAGUUAUAUAGCUAUAUAUAUGUCUCUCUCUCUCUCUCUCUCUCUCUCUAUAUAUAUAUAUAUAGAUAUAUCUCUCUCUAUAUAUAUAUAUAUAUAGAGAGAGAGAGAGAGAGAGAGAGACAUAUAUAUAGCUAUAUAACUGUC